UGCAAAAUUAUUUUGGCUUGGUUAAAGGUCUCUUUCAGGCUGCUGCUCGCUCUCGCGCACCUCCCUGCCGGCCACCCCAGGCCUGAGCGGCGGCCACGCGGCAUCGGGCACAUCUGUGUUGGGAAGCGGAGACUUUGGUGUUGUGGAAGGGUACCACGAGAUCUCCAAAUUCCAGCUCUCGGUCUGCAGCCUGGAGGAGAGAGGCAAAGCGGCAACUGCAUCACCACACGCCACGGGGAUGUCAGGGUGAAUCUGUUUCACUGACAACAAGAUUGUUCUGUCUAGACGGUGAAGCGCUGCUGAACGGAGUGAGUCUGCGGAAUAAUUUAAAGCCAAAAUACUUUACAGGCAUUAAAUUUAAAACAAAAAGUGGCUUGGCACAGAUGAUGCCUGAUGGAUGGCUCGUAGGGGGGCGGGGAGGCGGCUGGCUUUGAGACAGAGCUCGGUGGUGGUGACCGACAGAUGUCCCUCAGUGUCACCCUGUAGCUGUCGGCCUGUCGCCUCUCCCAGAUAAGUUCUUCCCCAGCAGUGGAGGUGUCUGGGUGACCCCAUGGAGCUCAGCGCAGAGCUCCUGUGCAGUACCUUGGAUCUGGCGUGAAUUUCGCUGCUCCCAGCAGGCUGCCCGGCUUCUCAGGCCUUGUCCCCGCUGUGCCGCCACCUCUGCAGCCACCCCACGGCCUGACUGGGCGAUGCGGGAGCAGAAGGGCUUGUGCGGAGGGUGUCCGAGCCCCGUAUUCCCCAUCUGCCCGCGGGGGUGGCAGCCGGGGCUGCCUGAGGCGGAGAUGUGCUGUCGAGAUUGCGGCCCGGAUGGCAUAAGGAAUGUACUUUCUUCUGGCAGAAAGAUGAAACACUAAAAGCAUAGCUCAAAGGCUGGAAUACAUAUAUCUUUUCCCUUUCUGAGGAGGGCUUCUGCUCAGCAGUGCUUCGGUGUUGCCGCGAGCCAGCAGCCGCUUGGAGCAGGAGGGAUGGCAGCCGUCCGAGAGCAGGGGGUGAGGCUGAAGCAAGGAAGGAAGAAGGGAAGCACAUCUCGGGCGGGCUGGCCUCCGGGCUCAGGAUGAACGCUGAAGCUUCAGCUCCACCGUAGCGUUUAGGACUUGUGCUUUAGUCUUGUUUGGCUCCUGUUCAAUGACGAGAAAGAAAACCUUUUUGUCUCUGCCUCUACAGGUGAGGGCAGUGCCCCUCUGAAGCAGGAGGGCACCUUCACGUUGACCCCUCUCCUUGGAUUGAGGAGGAUACAAGAGGGGAGGAGCAGAGGGCUCAACCAAGGCAUCUCUUGCCUACCUCCCUCUGGAGACGUCCCGCUGGCUCCCAGUUUGCCAUUUCUGGCAUCUUGCUGAGUCCAAGCGUCCCCAAGAAUCCCUGGUGACUUUCUGAAGUGGAGAUGGGGAUCUGGACCAGAUUCAGAGGAAAGAGGAAGAGGCAAAUUCAGUGCAGUGGGGAGAGAACCCAGAACGCUCUUAACUUUACACCUCUACAACCCUGGCUGUGAAUGCUACUUAUUGGCUGAUCAAGGAGGUACCCGAACAAAACAUGCGGGGGGGACAGUCACUCGCUCGGGGUCACGGAAUGGGUGAGCACUGAAAUGCAGUUUGACCUCAACUCCGAUUACAGCCACUGCCUUGCGCCUUGAUACCCGUCUGCCCUCCGGUGGGGUGGGGACAGGCAGCAGAAGGGGGCCCUGAUGUCCUGUGCCCCCCCAAGCCUUGCCUUACGCAUUCCCCCACCUGCCCCCCUGCUGCUGCCUCCUGAAAGACCCUGUGAUUAAUUAUACUGCUCCACGGCCUCUGAAAAUUUAUUUAGGGUUUUAUGUUUGCCGCUGCGGCUCUUACACAAUGGCAAAUCUGCCGUGGCUGCGUCCCAAGCAGGUGGCAGCUAAUAGGUCAAUAAAGUGAAUCGCACCAUUAGAGCUGUCGAGCUGGGCUGCCAGGAGCCAGGCAGGUAGAGGGGAAAGCUGCGGAGAAGUCAAGACAGAUCUGCUUUAGCAGAAAUACAUUUAGCUAUGCUGGCUUGAAGGAAAUUGCUCGCUUCCCUGAUAGCAUCCACCACUUGAAUAGAUUGAUUUUUCCACUAUAGUUUGUCUAGCUUAAGCUUUCUUCUCCCUGCAUCCCAUGCUCUCCUAAACAUUAGUCGAACAGGGCCUUUUCAUCUCUGAGACCUUUCAAAGUUAUUUUCCUUAAAGAUUUUCAUGGCCUUUUCCUUGGAGUGUGGAGAAAAGGGGACUGGGGGCGACUGUCAGCUGGAGGAAAUGGGCGGCUGCAGACCACAAAAUAGAUACCCCAGAAAUGCUGCUACGGGCAUGCAGAAAUCAGCCCGACUUGAAAUAGGUGGUAACCACCCCAGCAGCUCUAGAAAUGGCCUUGGCCCCCGAGCAUCGUGCUUAGAGCCAAAGGGUCGGUGAUGGACAGAUAAAACAGGGCUGUACCCGUGCGACACCCUCACCCUGCACAGGGUCUCUGCUCCCGCCUGGAAGGCAGCAGGCUCGUUUGUACCUGCUGCUAAUUUAUAUGCAGUGGGAAUCUGUUCCCAGUCGCCUGGUGCGGAG